rnacentral:rRNA from 1 species
GAUCUACCUAGUAGUACGGAAUAAUUGUUGGAAACGGCAACUAAUACCGUAUACGCCCUACGGGGGAAAAAUUUAUUGCUAUUAGAUGAGCCUAUAUUAGAUUAGCUAGUUGGUGGAGUAAUAGCCUACCAAGGCAAUGAUCUAUAGCUGAUCUGAGAGGAUGAUCAGCCACACUGGAACUGAGAUACGGUCCAGACUCCUACGGGAGGCAGCAGUGGGGAAUAUUGGACAAUGGGCGAAAGCCUGAUCCAGCCAUGCCGCAUGAGUGAAGAAGGCCUUUGGGUUGUAAAGCUCUUUUAGUGAGGAAGAUAAUGACGGUACUCACAGAAGAAGUCCUGGCUAACUCCGUGCCAGCAGCCGCGGUAAUACGGAGAGGGCUAGCGUUAUUCGGAAUUAUUGGGCGUAAAGGGCGCGUAGGCUGGUUAAUAAGUUAAAAGUGAAAUCCCGAGGCUUAACCUUGGAAUUGCUUUUAAAACUAUUAAUCUAGAGAUUGAAAGAGGAUAGAGGAAUUCCUGAUGUAGAGGUAAAAUUCGUAAAUAUUAGGAGGAACACCAGUGGCGAAGGCGUCUAUCUGGUUCAAAUCUGACGCUGAAGCGCGAAGGCGUGGGGAGCAAACAGGAUUAGAUACCCUGGUAGUCCACGCUGUAAACGAUGAAUGUUAAAUAUGGGAAGUUUACUUUCUGUAUUACAGCUAACGCGUUAAACAUUCCGCCUGGGGACUACGGUCGCAAGAUUAAAACUCAAAGGAAUUGACGGGGACCCGCACAAGCGGUGGAGCAUGUGGUUUAAUUCGAUGCAACGCGAAAAACCUUACCACUUCUUGACAUGA